rnacentral:rRNA from 1 species
AUUGAACGCUGGCGGCAGGCCUAACACAUGCAAGUCGAACGAGUGGCGGACGGGUGAGUAAUGUUUGGGAAACUGCCCGAUGGAGGGGGAUAACUACGGGAAACGGUAGCUAAUACCGCAUACCAUCGGAUGUGCCCAGGUGGGAAUAGCUAGUAGGGGGGGUAACGGCUCACCUAGGCGACGAUCCCUAGCUGGUCUGAGAGGAUGACCAGCCACACUGGGACUGAGACACGGUCCAGACUCCUACGGGAGGCAGCAGUGGGGAAUAUUGCACAAUGGGCGCAAGCCUGAGGCAGCCAUGCCGCGUGUAUGAAGAAGGCCUUCGGGUUGUAAAGUACUUUCAGUGGGGAGGCGUUACCCGCAGAAGAAGCACCGGCUAACUCCGUGCCAGCAGUCGCGGUAAUAC